UACGUAGGGGGCUAGCGUUGUCCGGAAUUAUUGGGCGUAAAGAGCUCGUAGGCGGUCUGUCGCGUCGGCUGUGAAAACCUGAGGCUCAACCUCGGGCCUGCAGUCAAUACGGGCAGACUAGAGUUCGGUAGGGGAGACUGGAAUUCCUGGUGUAGCGGUGGAAUGCGCAGAUAUCAGGAGGAACACCGGUGGCGAAGGCGGGUCUCUGGGCCGAAACUGACGCUGAGGAGCGAAAGCGUGGGGAGCAAACAGG
rnacentral:rRNA from 1 species